AAGCAACCUCGGAAUCUUUGUCAUCACAGCAUUUCAGACGGGCACCAAUUGGUUGGAGUGGGCAUUUAAGAUGAAACCUACUGUCGUUCUCAAGGCAGGGAAGAGCGCUAAACCUGCGGAUUUCCUGAGUCAUACAGGGAAUUCCAGGAGCACCUGUAACCCUAAUACCAGCUACUCCAGGGGUCCUGAGUGCAAACGUCUGCAGGCACCAAACAGGUGGAUGAGGGCAGGGCAUCUGCUCCAACAGGACUAGAGGGGCAGCAUUCAACUGGGCCUCUGCUCCAGCUCUUCCGUGCGCUCCCGGAUCAGGUCCUCCAGGUUACUGGAGUACUGCUCCAGCAUCCGCAGCAUUGAGUCGAUGAUGUUUGUCUUCCGGCCCUUGUUGAUGUUCUUAAACUAGUAUGAGGAGGAAACUGGUGGGGCUACCAAAGACCUGGGCUGCCAUGCCCCUCUCAUAGGGCUGUAUCAUGCCUGAUUCUCUGCCCUCCAUUCAUCUUCUGCUCAUCAGGCUGUCCUCCCAACCCCUGCCCUGGGUGCUGGGCACUGUGUUUUCACACAUUAGUAAGAGGCAUAUAGGAAAUGGGAGUUCCAAGAGCUUAGCUGUUCUCAGCUGGUAAUUGGCAGGGUACUGGAAUGGCCCAUCUUGGGAUUCCCAGGCCAGGGGUUUUUCUGCCACACUAGGUCAAGCACAUACUUGGAACUCAAUAAAUGUUAUUUGAAUUAA